rnacentral:tRNA from 1 species
GACCGUGUAGCUCAGUUGGCAGAGCAUUGGGCUAGUAUUCCAAAGGUCGUAGGUUCGAUUCCCGCCGUGGGCA